AACGAACGCUGGCGGCAUGCCUAACACAUGCAGGUCGAACGAGACCUUCGGGUCUAGUGGCGCACGGGUGCGUAACGCGUGGGAACCUGCCCUUAGGUUCGGAAUAACUCCCCGAAAGGGGUGCUAAUACCGGAUAAUGUCUUCGGACCAAAGAUUUAUCGCCUUUGGAUGGGCCCGCGUUGGAUUAGCUAGUUGGUAGGGUAAAAGCCUACCAAGGCGACGAUCCAUAGCUGGUCUGAGAGGAUGAUCAGCCACACUGGGACUGAGACACGGCCCAGACUCGUACGGGAGGCAGCAGUGGGGAAUAUUGGACAAUGGGCGAAAGCCUGAUCCAGCAAUGCCGCGUGAGUGAUGAAGGCCUUAGGGUUGUAAAGCUCUUUUACCCGGGAUGAUAAUGACAGUACCGGGAGAAUAAGCUCCGGCUAACUCCGUG
rnacentral:rRNA from 1 species